UCAAAGGAUGGAUUAAAAAAGAAGCUUCAUGCUUAUGUUCUGCAGUAUGGGAAACACUUGUUAUUACAGCACUGGUGAUACUGAAGAAAUAACAAGGCUCUACAUUGUAGAAAGUUGUGUCAGUAGAUUUACCUCCUGCACUUCUCGUUCAGACAAGACACCAGUCU